CACAGCCACCUGUUGCAAACAUGAGUAUAAAGAAUAAUAUUCACUUAAUAACUAAAAAGAUAAAGAAAACAGUUGGUCUAGGUAAGGUAAGGAAAGGAUAGAUCUACUCCCGACCUCCCCUUCUCUUUGGUCAAACCCAAAAACUGGCCACAGCAAUUUCCUACCCUUUUUAACUCUAGAAUUUGAUUCUUGCCCAGAAUUCUUGCAUCCUUUUACCCAUUGAGAGUUAUCUAAUCGUUUACCCAGACAAUUUCUCCACCAAAUUGAUGAACAAAAGGUCAAAGACGAUGGAGGAGAGGCUCCAAUCCAGGGUUCCUAUGAUACUUAGCCAUACUUGUCGCCGUCGACGCCUACCGGAGCUUCCACCCAAGACAUGCAUCCUCUCAGAACGCCGAUAGCUUCUGGUUUUAAUUGAACUUCCAGCUAAAGAAAAAUCAAGAAGAAGGAGCAUAAUAAGCCAAGCAUUUGCUGGAAAAUUUUGCACUUUUGCAAAAUGUAAUGGCAGCAAGUCAAGAAAGUUAUAAGUACAAAACAUAAAUAAGAAAUUGAUGUAUUGUGCCAUUUGGAAACAUGUAUUAAUGUAAAUAUAGUACUUGUAGCUAUCUAUGUAACCUUUAUUGAAACCUAAGCACAAGUUGUAUUUUUUUCUUUUCUUUUCUUUUUGACAAAGAAUGUAAACAGGUUAAUAUUUGCUUUUGUUUGUAAGAAACACUUGUGUUCUACUCUAGCAUUUUGUUAACAAAAGCUAGUUGGUUUUAUAAAAACAAAUAAACCAAAAUCA